AUUGAACGCUGGCGGCGUGCCUAACACAUGCAGGUCGAGCGGUAACAGGUGUAGCAAUACAUGCUGACGAGCGGCGAACGGGUGAGUAAUGCUUUGGAAUCUUCCCAGUAGUGGGGAAUAACCAGUCGAAAGAUUGGCUAAUACCGCAUACGUCUGUAAAGGGAAAGCGGGGGCUCGUAAGACCUCGCGCUAUUGGAUGAGCCAAAGUCGGAUUAGCUAGUUGGNGGGGUAAUGGCCUACCAAGGCGACAAUCCGUAGCUGGUCUGAGAGGACGACCAGCCACACCGGAACUGAGACACGGUCCGGACUCCUACGGGAGGCAGCAGUGGGGAAUAUUGGACAAUGGGGGAAACCCUGAUCCAGCGACGCCGCGUGUGUGAAGAAGGCCUGCGGGUGUAAAGCACUUUUAGUGGGGACAAAAGCUACGGAUUAAUACUCUGUGGUCUUGAUUUAACCAAAGAAAAGCACGCUAACUCUGUGCCAGCCGCCGCA
rnacentral:rRNA from 1 species